rnacentral:snRNA from 1 species
GUACUCGCUUUGGCAGCACAUAUACUAAAAUUGAAAUAAUACAGAGAAGAUUAUCAUGGCUCCUGCACAACAUGACAUGCAAAUUCAUGAAGCAGUCCAUAUUUUU